rnacentral:lncRNA from 1 species
UCCCCCCCAAGUGAACACCCCAGUCAGCAACUAGUCCACAGCAAAUCAAUAUCUUAGUCCAUACACACUGAGUGUGCAGGGCACACCAGUCAGUAUUUCAUCUGCAAUCAUUAUCCAGUCCAAUUAUUACUCCAGUAUGAGUAAUACAUACUCGGCAUCCAGUGUGCACCCAGGCCACACCCAGUCAGUAUCGGGACCACACACACUCUUCAGCCAAUCCAUACUCUCUCAUCAUUCAUUAGAUACCCAUUUGGUCAUCGUCUAGUCCAAGUCCAGCCACCAUCCAUCCACAUCCAGUCAGCAUCCAAUGUAUAUCCCUAUGCAGACGGAAUCCAGUCUAUACCCAGUCAGCUUCCAGUCCUUAGCCAAUAUUUUACCCACACCCAAUCACCAUCUAGUCACUAUCCACUAAGUAAUCCAUGCCUCGAGCAACUCUGGGCCACAGUCAGCACCCUCUGCACGUCCAUCAGCACCUGCACCCUCUGUACGUCCAUCAUCACCUGCACCCUCUGCACGUCCCAUCAUCAGCAUCUGCACCCUCUGCACGUCCCAUCAUCAGCACCUGCACCCUCUGCACGUCCCAUCAUCAGCACCUGCACCCUCUGCACGUCCCAUCAUCACCUGCACCCUCUGCACGUCCAUCAUCAGCACCUGCACCCUCUGCACGUCCAUCAGCACCUGCACCCUCUGCACGUCCAUCAUCAGCACCUGCACCCUCUGCACGUCCAUCAUCAGCACCUGCACCCUCUGCACGUCCAUCAUCAGCACCUGCACCCUCUGCACGUCCAUCAUCAACACCUGCACCCUCUGCACGUCCCAUCAGCACCUGCACCAUACCCCAUUUUUAGGACAAGCACACAAACACUGAACCUAUUUACAUGCUACGCCCUGUCAGCAUUCAGCACCCAGUCAGCAUCGAGGUCACGUGGUCACUAUACAAUUCACACCCUCUCAUCAUUCACUGCACACCCAAUCAGCAUCCGAGGCAUACGCCGUCCAUAA